GCGGCGGCCGACUCUCCACCUGCUCCUGAGUAGGUUUGAGCUGGUUCCGGAGCUGGUGGUGGGGCAGCUGGAGCGGUUUCACCACCUCCAGAGUAGUUGCUGCCUCCAGCAGCUGAUCCAGCGUCACCUCCUCCUCCAGAAUAGCCUCCAGAAGACGGAGCUGGCUCUGGAGCGGCAGGUGCUGAGGAUUC
ensembl:ncRNA ZK638.1 ncRNA